rnacentral:rRNA from 1 species
GAUAGUGAACCAGUACCGUGAGGGAAAGGCGAAAAGAACCCCGGCGAGGGGAGUGAAAAAGAACCUGAAACCGUGUACGUACAAGCAGUGGGAGCACAGAGCAAUCUGUGUGACUGCGUACCUUUUGUAUAAUGGGUCAGCGACUUAUAUUCUGUAGCAAGGUUAACCGAAUAGGGGAGCCGAAGGGAAACCGAGUCUUAACUGGGCGUUAAGUUGCAGGGUAUAGACCCGAAACCCGGUGAUCUAGCCAUGGGCAGGUUGAAGGUUGGGUAACACUAACUGGAGGACCGAACCGACUAAUGUUGAAAAAUUAGCGGAUGACUUGUGGCUGGGGGUGAAAGGCCAAUCAAACCGGGAGAUAGCUGGUUCUCCCCGAAAGCUAUUUAGGUAGCGCCUCGUGAAUUCAUCUCCGGGGGUAGAGCACUGUUUCGGCAAGGGGGUCAUCCCGACUUACCAACCCGAUGCAAACUGCGAAUACCGGAGAAUGUUAUCACGGGAGACACACGGCGGGUGCUAACGUCCGUCGUGAAGAGGGAAACAACCCAGACCGCCAGCUAAGGUCCCAAAGUCAUGGUUAAGUGGGAAACGAUGUGGGAAGGCCCAGACAGCCAGGAUGUUGGCUUAGAAGCAGCCAUCAUUUAAAGAAAGCGUAAUAGCUCACUGGUCGAGUCGGCCUGCGCGGAAGAUGUAACGGGGCUAAACCAUGCACCGAAGCUGCGGCAGCGACGCUGAUGCGUUGUUGGGUAGGGGAGCGUUCUGUAAGCCUGUGAAGGUGUGCUGUGAGGCAUGCUGGAGGUAUCAGAAGUGCGAAUGCUGACAUAAGUAACGAUAAAGCGGGUGAAAAGCCCGCUCGCCGGAAGACCAAGGGUUCCUGUCCAACGUUAAUCGGGGCAGGGUGAGUCGACCCCUAAGGCGAGGCCGAAAGGCGUAGUCGAUGGGAAACAGGUUAAUAUUCCUGUACUUGGUGUUACUGCGAAGGGGGGACGGAGAAGGCUAUGUUGGCCGGGCGACGGUUGUCCCGGUUUAAGCGUGUAGGCUGGUUUUCCAGGCAAAUCCGGAAAAUCAAGGCUGAGGCGUGAUGACGAGGCACUACGGUGCUGAAGCAACAAAUGCCCUGCUUCCAGGAAAAGCCUCUAAGCAUCAGGUAACAUCAAAUCGUACCCCAAACCGACACAGGUGGUCAGGUAGAGAAUACCAAGGCGCUUGAGAGAACUCGGGUGAAGGAACUAGGCAAAAUGGUGCCGUAACUUCGGGAGAAGGCACGCUGAUAUGUAGGUGAAGUCCCUCGCGGAUGGAGCUGAAAUCAGUCGAAGAUACCAGCUGGCUGCAACUGUUUAUUAAAAACACAGCACUGUGCAAACACGAAAGUGGACGUAUACGGUGUGACGCCUGCCCGGUGCCGGAAGGUUAAUUGAUGGGGUCAGCGCAAGCGAAGCUCUUGAUCGAAGCCCCGGUAAACGGCGGCCGUAACUAUAACGGUCCUAAGGUAGCGAAAUUCCUUGUCGGGUAAGUUCCGACCUGCACGAAUGGCGUAAUGAUGGCCAGGCUGUCUCCACCCGAGACUCAGUGAAAUUGAACUCGCUGUGAAGAUGCAGUGUACCCGCGGCAAGACGGAAAGACCCCGUGAACCUUUACUAUAGCUUGACACUGAACAUUGAGCCUUGAUGUGUAGGAUAGGUGGGAGGCUUUGAAGUGUGGACGCCAGUCUGCAUGGAGCCGGCCUUGAAAUACCACCCUUUAAUGUUUGAUGUUCUAACGUUGACCCGUGAUCCGGGUUGCGGACAGUGUCUGGUGGGUAGUUUGACUGGGGCGGUCUCCUCCUAAAGAGUAACGGAGGAGCACGAAGGUUGGCUAAUCCUGGUCGGACAUCAGGAGGUUAGUGCAAUGGCAUAAGCCAGCUUGACUGCGAGCGUGACGGCGCGAGCAGGUGCGAAAGCAGGUCAUAGUGAUCCGGUGGUUCUGAAUGGAAGGGCCAUCGCUCAACGGAUAAAAGGUACUCCGGGGAUAACAGGCUGAUACCGCCCAAGAGUUCAUAUCGACGGCGGUGUUUGGCACCUCGAUGUCGGCUCAUCACAUCCUGGGGCUGAAGUAGGUCCCAAGGGUAUGGCUGUUCGCCAUUUAAAGUGGUACGCGAGCUGGGUUUAGAACGUCGUGAGACAGUUCGGUCCCUAUCUGCCGUGGGCGCUGGAGAACUGAGGGGGGCUGCUCCUAGUACGAGAGGACCGGAGUGGACGCAUCACUGGUGUUCGGGUUGUCAUGCCAAUGGCACUGCCCGGUAGCUAAAUGCGGAAGAGAUAAGUGCUGAAAGCAUCUAAGCACGAAACUUGCCCCGAGAUGAGUUCUCCCUGACUCCUUGAGAGUCCUGAAGGAACGUUGAAGACGACGACGUUGAUAGGCCGGGUGUGUAAGCGCAGCGAUGCGUUGAGCUAACCGGUACUAAUGAACCGUGAGG